rnacentral:tRNA from 1 species
GGAUUGUGGCUUAGUGGUAGAGUGCUUGCCUAGCAUGUACAAGGCACUGGGUUCAAUCCUCAGCACCA